UGGGGAAUAUUGGACAAUGGGGGCAACCCUGAUCCAGCCAUGCCGCGUGAGUGAUGAAGGCCCUAGGGUUGUAAAGCUCUUUCGGCGGGGACGAUAAUGACGGUACCCGCAGAAGAAGCCCCGGCUAACUUCGUG
rnacentral:rRNA from 1 species